rnacentral:lncRNA from 1 species
GUAGAUGGAAUGAAGGUUUGAUUGACAAAGGAUCAGGUAGAGAGAGGUGGGUAGAAGGAGAGGGAGUUUGAUGGACAAAGGAUCAGGUAGAGAGAGGGUGGGUAGAAGGAGAGGGAGUUUGAUGGACAAAGGAUCAGGUAGAUAGAGGUGGGUAGAAGGAGAGGGAGUUUGAUAGACAAAGGAUCAGGUAGAUAGAGGUGGGUAGAAGGAGAGGGAGUUUGAUGGACAAAGGAUCAGGUAGAGAGAGGUGGGUAGAAGGAGAGGGAGUUUGAUGGACAAAGGAUCAGGUAGAUAGAGGUGGGUAGAAGGAGAGGGAGUUUGAGGGACAAAGGAUCAGGUAGAGAGAGGGUGGGUUGAUGGAGAGGGAGUUUGAUGGACAAAGGGUUAGCUGUAGAGAGGGCGUUAUGUAGAGGGGGUAAGGUGGGUUUGGAAGAUUAUGGGAGAAGCCUGCCUGCCUAAGUUGUGUUAAUGAAUUGGGUCAGGAACAAGGGAAGGUUUCAGUAACCUUCUCACACAAGUCAUCUCCUGAGCCUCAUCAAUAUACAAGAGAGCAGACACCCUCCUGCCAAUCAUGACGCACAACAAACAGGAGGCUGACCGAUGAAUCCUACAGGACAAGAUGACCUGACAGAGACUGCUGCAAUUACACACUUCACCGUAGACACACAGACA